rnacentral:lncRNA from 1 species
AGGCCGCGGUCCUCCGGGCGUCGCUCCCCCGCCCCGCGGUUUCCCACACCCACACCCGGGUAGGAUCCCCAGGCUUUCUCCUUCCUCACCCGACGCGGUUGGAUGCAGAGAUUGGUUCAUCUCCUCAGGCUCCUUUUGAAAACAGCCUCACCUCGCGGUGAAUCUUACCUGCCAAAGGAAGAAUCCAAGGGAGGAAGAGUCGCUUUCGGCGGAGGCCUCAGGCCGCCUGUACCUCCGGCCAGGUGCCCCGAACAUCGACAUGGAGUGGUUCUUUCCAGCCCAGAGGAGCUAGGGGCGGUUCCCAGACAAGCUCCCAUUGCUCCUGCCAAGUACGAGCAGAGCCCUUUUCAUUUCCCAGACCCGCAUUCCGCCCUUCCGGAUCCACGGCUCCGCCAGUUUCUCCUGGCCUUGCUUGAGUCAGGCAUUCUGUCCUCUUCCUGCUGUCCCUUCCUGAGACAGCGGGUACUGAGCCACACUGCUGGUGGGUCUCGGUGGUGCCACGCAGGAGGAGCAGAGGGGCUGGAGAGGAGUUCACAGUUCCGAUUGAGGACCAGUCUUACCAACAAACCAAUGAAUUCUCCGAAUCCAGUAAAAGACACUUCAGAGACUCAUUCUAUACACAAGGAAACCCAGGUUCCUGACCUCAGUAGCUAUCGCUUAACCGUGGCCACAGUGAUGUUGUAA